GUAACAAUAGCCACUGUUUAUGGAGUUCACCAAGCACUAGGCUCUGGGGAGCCUCUCCUGUGUACUAUCUCAUUGACUCUCCAGCAGUCCAUUGCAGUAGUUACUAGCAGGACCUUCAUUUUGCAGAUGAGGAAAUGGAGACCCAAGGAACUUGCCCAAGGUCACACUUCCAAGCUGCCUCAGCCUCAAAAUGAUUGUGUUGCAUCCAACCUCUGGACCAGUGAAAUGAAACUGAGGCCCCGAGAAGCAAUGGGAUUUGAUCAAAGCCUCACAACUAGUAUCGGUCAGAACUUGAAUCCAGGCCAGUUCUGGCUUCUGAUCUAGCACUCUUCGGGAUGCCACAUGAAAGGAAGCGACAGCCUCUCCCGCAGCUAAGGUUUACAGACUUUAGACACCAUACCCAGCUGGAAUCUUCAAACCUAACACAGACAAGGGACUUGAGAAUGGUGGUGGAUCCGGGUACCGGCUGUGUGCUAACAGAGGGCAGACAAUCCCCAGCUGUGGGGAAGGAAGUGACACAUCCGGAUUUCGUCUGCUGUACAAUAUACAAAACUCAAUGAUAAACAACGGAGACCUAGGAGGAACUCGGUGGCCCAGGUUGCCUUCAUCCAAUGCCAUCAUGAGACGGCCCAGAGAGGUAGAGAGGUGAGAUCUCAGCAUUCCUCUGCAGUCUGUAACGGCAAGACGUGCUCAACCUCCACUGUUAGAAACCUAAUGAAGUUAACCCUGGGGCCCCAAACAGGGGUCUAGUCUGAGACUCCUUCCGGAGAUGCCAGGCCAGGAUGGGGAUGGUGGGAGGAAGCGGUGCCCAGCACUGAUAAGCCACUCCCUUCCUUUGUCCCAGGCACUUUUCAAUGUCUGCUAUGUCUAUGCACUGGGAAUCCUCAAGGGAGAGACAGAAAAGAGACAGGCAGGGUGGAGGGGCUGCUUCCUGGUGUCUGGGAGCCUCUUUACCCUUCCCCACUUGCUUCACUUCCUCUCACUGGGGAACCAUCAACACUGUGUAAAGAAACCUCAGCUAUAUAAAUAUAAUAAGUAUGUGUAAUAUAUGUGCACAUAUAAAAUAUACGCACAUGUAUCCGAUA